CCAACUUACUCGUGUACUAACCCCUAUAAAUAUUUCUUGGUUUCCGGUUUCUUUACUUCUGCAACCCAAACCUCCCAGCUCUUAGGUUUGAUUCACUUCUCUUCCAAACAUCGCUUCCUGUUUCUUCGUUUCGGUAACUUCAGAUCCCAAAGUUAAGAUUGAGUUUUCAUAUUUCCAUUUUGUAGAUAUUUUAGGGAUUUCACAGUGGAUUCAUUUUUGUUUUUACCUUGAUUCUGUUUGAUUGAAUUCCUGAAUGGAAAGCUGGACUUGGGUUCACUUUAAACAUUGUUAUUUUUGGAUUUUUUAUGACACUUUGAUAUUCCGAUGGACACUUUGAUAUUCCAAUGAUUUGUAAAUUUAAAAUAAGGUUACAGACAUUAAAAUUAAAGAUUUUGGGCUUCUGCCGGUACUUCCUGUAAAUCCUUUGUUUUGUUGAUGGCAAAGCCCUGAGCGGUGUCGUUUGGUAUACUGACAUCUACAGUUUCUGAUAGUUAGUGCAGUUUGGAAGCGGAAGUGCAGAUUUGUUUGAUGGUGGUGAAGGUGAAUUGUGGUGGUGGUUAGGUCUGUGAGUAUGACAUGUAAGCUUUAGGUUUUUUUCUUUAAUAAAGAUGCUGGUGAUGUCGUGCGAAGAAUUAGGAUCUAAUUAGUUUCUUUGCAUCUCUCAUAACCACCUAUAGUUGAAUUGUGUCAUAAUUUUUUAUUUCUACUAGACGUGUUGCCCUUUGACCGCUAUAAGAACUAUAUUCAAGCGAUUUGAUUUUUUUUGUGCGGUUUGAUAUAAACACGUUUGUUGGAGUUCUGUCUGAUUGAGAAACUUUUUGGUGUCAUACCGGAGGUGGUAACUUUGGUUUUGUUCAUUAGUUAAAUUGGCGAUGAAUUGAUGGAAAGCAAGAAAUCCAUUUGCUUUAUAUUUUUACCGUUUUGUCAACCAGUUAUCUGCUUUAUGUCUGACUAUUUUUUGGAUGACAUAGACGGAAUGAAAUCUGUCAAUAUCAAUAUUGUUUAUGUGAAACAUGUGAUGCAUUUAUUGUGAUAACCUCUUUGGUGUUUUAUAAUGGGUAUCUAGCACGAUCCUUUGCCCAAAACGUAGAUCUCAGUCCAUUAGGUAAGAAGCACCUUCCUGUUCUGGUGCAUUUGGUAACUGGAUAGGUGGUGUGGUUCAUUAUGUUUGGUUUAGUUAUACUCUGCUACUUUUGUGAUUGGUAGGUGUGCAUCCCAUUGUAUCUGUUGUAUACAUAUGGUUAUAAUUUUAUUUUUUCCAUUAUUGGUAUUACAUAACUGAGAUCUAAUUAUGUUGUAGUGGCUAUGCUACUGAUAACCGCCAACGAAAGCUCGAAGGUGAAUGUAUCGAUGCCCUCUAUCAUCACGAUGCACAUUAGUUGGUUCUACUGUUCCAGUUCACGGUGCUGGAGCAUGUGAGAUGGAUAUUGCAACAAGAGAUUUUCCCUGGAAAACUUCAGUAAGACUUUGGUGAAGCCUGUUUGGAAGAAAGAAUGUAGUUGUCCAAUGUGCUACGUAGUUUCAUGUGAGCGUUUGGGAUACUGGUGGCUCCAAGUGCGAUAGACUUGGCUAGACUACCUUUUAUGAGGAACGGAAGUGAAACUCACACUAAAGUGGUUUGGGGUGAUGGAGAUGGCUGGAAACUACCUCAAAUUAAGAAUUAAAGUGCUAAGUAAUUAAGUUACGCACACUUGUUUUUGCAGGACGCAUAUAAGUGGAUUAAUAUCUUUUGCAUGAUUGUUGCAAUGAAAGCUCCUACAGUGUUCUACCUGAAGGACAUAUGAGCAGAAAGUGGAGAGAAAGGAGUGCUUGAUUAUUACAAUUUUAAUGCCUUUGGUGGUAAGGCAUCCAAACUUAAAAACGGAAAAUGUUGGUUUGAAUGUUACAACUUAUUUUAGCAUUUACAUGAGAAAAUUGGAUUUCCCUACCAUGAAAAAUCCAUAGCACCCCAGCUAAUAACCUUAUUUUCAACAACUAGCGAAAACCCCCGCCAUACCGGCAGGGUUCACCAUUCAAUGUUGCAAGAUCAGAUACUCUAUGCAGUAAAGUCGCACCAGAGUGAGAUUUCCUGAAAUGGAAUAUGAUCAGAAUCACAUUGUGGAUUAGUAAAAUAUUGUUCAACGUCAAACUGCCUACUUUGUUGUUGACAAAAGAUGGAACCCCAGACAUCCAUGAUGGAUUCCCCUCAACGGAACAAGAAUGAGGAUAAAGUUAUGCAAAGACGAUGUAAUUGUUGGAUACCAAAAGGGAUUGAGCUAAAAAUUAUAAAAAUAUCAGCUAAAUAUGAUGUAGCUUACU